UACGUAGGGGGCAAGCGUUGUCCGGAAUCAUUGGGCGUAAAGAGCGUGUAGGCGGCUUGGCAAGUCUGACGUGAAAGCCCGCGGCUCAACCGCGGAUUGUCGUUGGAAACUGCCUCGCUAGAGUCCGGAAGAGGAGAGCGGAAUUCCUGGUGUAGCGGUGGAAUGCGCAGAUAUCAGGAAGAACACCCGUGGCGAAGGCGGCUCGCUGGGACGUUACUGACGCUGAGACGCGAAAGCGUGGGGAGCAAACAGG
rnacentral:rRNA from 1 species